CACCCAACUAAAGUAAUAGAUACAGCAGAGCUCGAAUCAUCGAGAAAAAUAAGAGAGGAAGUAAAAGGAAUAAAAAAUGAAGGAAAAUGGAAAUUAAAAAGAAAAAAAAUAAUAUAAUAUAAUAUAAUAUAAUAUUAAAUAAAAGUAUAAAUAACAAUAAAAGGAAAAAAAAAAAGGAAUUAAAAAUUCUUAAAUUUAGUUUUAUUUUAUUUUAUUUCUAAAUGCUCAUUUUCAAUGAUAUUAAAAAAUAUAUAUAUUUAUAUAUUUAUUUUAAAACAAAUGAAACUACUGAAAUUCUCUUUAACAACUUCUCUUUAAUAAAAACUCCUCUUAAAUAUAUUUUAAUAAAUUAAAUAAAUUCAUCAAAUUAUGAACUUUUAUUGAAAUCUGUCAAGGAAAAAUUCAUUAUAAAAAUAAUUUCUCCAAAAAUAAAUUUUUUUUCCUAUCCUAUCCUAUCCAAUCCUAUCCAAUUCAACCCAUCCAUCCAUCCAUUCAUCCAUUCUCGACGCCUUUUAUCUUUUCACAUCUUCCACUGCUAUUUCAAUACAUUUUUGCCAUUCUCUUUCGGCUCUUUUUCUGCUCUCUCUUUCUCUUUCUCUCUCUCUCUCUUUGGUUGCUUUGUUUCACCGAUUAAUCUCAUUGUCUGUCUUACUUCCCGCGGCACCUUUUCUGCCUAAAUCGAGGGAUUUUUUUUUACUCUACUUCGGCUGCCUUGUUCUUUUGCUCUUUCCCUCUUUCCCUAAUACUGGACACUUUCCAUCCAUCUCGCUAUAGAGCAUUGUAACAUAUCCAUGUCUAUCAUGGAUAAGGCACUCGCUUUCAAAUGCCGUUGAUACGGGUUAUCGUAGCGAAAGACCAAGCUCGACAAUGUGUUUUAUAGACAGGGAGGUGAAAAGAUCGCCCGACCCUUGCGUUACACUGAUUUGCGUAGUGUAACCGUACCUUGGUUUAAGUAGGUUCCUUUAAUUUCUAAAGAAUUAAAAAAAAAAAAAAACACCUGAUGAAAUGAAACAAAAAUACGCUGGACACACACGGAUGAUGAAUGUACUGUACAAGCCUCGUCUUACUUUGCCUUUCUAUACUUUGCCACAUUGCCAGCUUCCCUUUACCUUCUUUUGUUUGCUAGUGUUUUCCUCUUUUCCUUCACAUUUACUUUUCCAUACCAACCAUCUUUAUCCAGCUGGAUCCAAAGGGGUUAAAAAAAAAAAUUUUCUUCUCCACAAUCCACCAUUGCCGAUGUCAAUCAUUUGGAUGGAAUUUAGGUAUUUACAAUAGAGUGGCUGACUGACUGGCAAUUUGCUUCAUUACGACCUGGACCUUGGAAUCUCUUUUUUUCUGUAUUUAUUUUUUAUUUUCUCUUUCUUUUCUUCUCCCUUUCUUCCAUACAUAAAGCCAUCUUUUCCUCCUUCAUCUCGUGCCAUGAUAAGAAAAGCCGAUUCAUUGUUGAUAAAACCCAAGGUUGACGGCAGUUGUUCUUCAUCGCACACUACAAUAGACAAAUCAAUGACUUGGAUUGCGCUAGCUUGCGAUGUUGAUGUUAAACUCGAUAAAUUUGUUUGUCCUGUUUCUUUGGCUUGCUUGUUUGGUAAGCAAUGUUUCUAUCUGAUAGACCGCAAUCUUCCGUCCUUUUCUGUUUUUUCACUCUUGUAUUUGUGUUACAGACGAACAAUCGGAUUUUUGUAAUCGCAUUAGCAAUUUAUGAAACAGUACACUAACGCUCAUUAGAAAAUUACCGUUCGCAUUGCAAACAAAGUCUUUCUUUUGAAUCCAUCCUUCUCUGCUUCCCUCCUUUAUGCUUCCUUCACUCCAUGUGAAUGAGCACGACUUCUCCUAUGAGUUAAAACCUUACAUCUGAAACCUUUAAACCUUUGUCUAUCUCUUUUUAAACUAUUCAAUCCCCAACUUUAUGCUUCUAGAAAUGGAUCAAGAAAAUCAUAUUUGGUUCCAUUCAUUUUUUCAAAUUUGACUUUUUCCUACCCGUAAUCAAUAGAAUACGAUUUCCGUGUUUUUUCGGCCUCGGUGAAUUUGUUGUAGAGACUUAAACUAAUGCUUAAAAACAUCAAUCACCAAAAAAAAAAAAAAAAAAAAAAAAAAAAAAGAAUUAAAAAAAUAUAUUUAUAUAUGCAAGACGUUUCCGCAAUUUGUUCAACUUACUACUUUGUUAAUAGUUUAUAUAUUUAAUAACUAUAGACAUCAUUAUAUUAUAUCAAAAGUAGCCCAACAGUAAGCUAACAAAGCAUAAGGCUUAUAAUCUCUUUGUAAACAAUAAAAUUAAAAAAUAAAAUCGCAAAAAGAAUAAAAAGAAGCCUACAGCACCCCG